rnacentral:lncRNA from 13 species
AUGGGUGUUAUGUGCAUGUUUGUGUAUAUUUUUUUUUUGGGGGGGGUUGUUCAAUGCAUACUGUUGAUAUUCACGUUUUGCCAAUGUGAGGAGAAUACAUAUUUCAGUGAAUUGCAGGGGUUGUUUGAAAUUUUUAUUGUUAAAACCAAAAAAAAGAUAAGAAAAGUUAUGAAAAUUAAGAUGUAAAUGAAGAUGUUCGGGGCAUCAGCCAUUAAAGAUUGAUGUUGCCAUUGUUGUUGCCUUGCUUUUUUUUCUGUUGAGUGACAUGCAUACAUGGUCAAUUUUUUAAAAAAAUAAAAAAAUGAUUAGGUAUUUUUCUUAAAACUGCAUUGUUGGUUAAGGGCUUGUACUGUAAGUAAGCUUUGAUUGUGAAUGUGUUAAUGGUUCUAGUCUUUUCCAUGAUCAUUCUUGAUACUAUAGAAGUUGCCCAUAUCCACAGAUCUAGGAUCAGAUUCCCCAACCCCCAAAUCCUAACCCUAACCAUUAGGGCACACCCCAGGGGUACGUGCAAUGCUGUCGAGGGUACAACCAAUUAAAAUGUGAUUCACAUUUAAAAAAUGGCAAAAAUUAUUCACUUUUCGAAAUGUAUUUUUUUAUUCACGUUUUCAAACAGUACAUUUAUAUUUUCCACCGGGGCUAUACAUUUGGGUGAGUUUUUUCUCUCGCCUGAGUAGCCUCGUUUCACUACCAUAAAAUUAAACCAUCUAGUGUUCAGCGAAAUAACAACACAAUGUCAAAUACAGGUAGCCUAGUCAAAUAAUUAUCAUCCAAUCACAUUAACCGUUACUCUCACUAGGGAAACCUUCACUCUUGCUCAGACAUUUAGAAACAAAACAGGACAUUUUGAAAAAUAAACCACGGGAGUUUUUUGAGCGAGAAUAAAGAUGACUUUCGAGUAGUAAGACAUGUAUAAAAGCAACAGGUACCAUUCAUAAGAAGGUGCUAGAAGCGUCUUAUAUGGUGAGCUACCGAGUGACUAGGACAGACAAGCCUCAUACUAUUGUGGAGGAGUGACUAGGACAGACAAGCCCCAUACUAUUGUGGAGGACUUCAUUCUCCCUGCUGCCGCGGAUAUGGCUGGGACAAUGCUGGGGGAAAAGGCCCAAAACAACGAUACAGACAAUGUCUUCAUCAAACAACAUUGUUUCACGACGCAUCAGUGACAUGGCAGGAGAUGUUUUGAAACAAUUACUGCUUGGCAUACUUGCCAAUUAAUUAUAUGCGUUACAGCUGGAUGAGUCAACAGAUGUGGCGGGCCUGGCACAGCUCCUGGUAUAUGUCCAUUAUGUUAAUGGGGGGUUAAUUGAGGAAGAGAUCCUCUUCUGCAAACCACUGGAAACCAGGACAACAUGAGAGGAUAAUUUUUAAGUGCUGGACAGCUUUGUGACAUCAAAUGGACUUUGGUGGUCAAGAUGUGUUGGUAUCU